UGUGAGUGAAAUGCUUUUUCUCUCAAGGACAAGCUGUGAUGGGGAGCGAAAUUUAGUAGCGAAGUUCCUGAUGUCACACUGCCAAGAAAAGCUUCUAGUGAGAAAGUAACUGCCCGUACCGCAAACCGACACAGGUAGUUGAGGAGAGAAUCCUAAGGUGUGCGAGAGAACUCUCGUUAAGGAACUCGGCAAAAUGACCCCGUAACUUCGGGAGAAGGGGUGCUGACCGCAAGGUCAGCCGCAGUGAAUAGGCCCAAGCGACUGUUCAUCAAAAACACAGGUCUCUGCAAAAUCGAAAGAUGACGUAUAGGGGCUGACGCCUGCCCGGUGCUGGAAGGUUAAGAGGAGAGGUUAGCGCAAGCGAAGCUUUGAAUUGAAGCCCCAGUAAACGGCGGCCGUAACGAUAACGGUCCUAAGGUAGCGAAAUUCCUUGUCGGGUAAGUUCCGACCCGCACGAAAGGCGUAACGAUUUGGGCACUGUCUCAACGAGAGACUCGGUGAAAUUAUAGUACCAGUGAAGAUGCUGGUUACCCGCGACAGGACGGAAAGACCCCAUGGAGCUUUACUGCAGUUUGAUAUUGCGUGUUUGUAUCACAUGUACAGGAUAGGUAGGAGCCGAAGAUACCGGGACGCCAGUCUCGGAGGAGGCAACGGUGGGAUACUACCCUUGUGAUAUGACCACUCUAACCCGCUGCUCUUAGCGAGCAGGGAGACAGUGUCAGACGGGCAGUUUGACUGGGGCGGUCGCCUCCAAAAAUGUAACGGAGGCGCCCAAAGGUUCCCUCAGAAUGGUUGGAAAUCAUUCGUAGAGUGUAAAGGCAGAAGGGAGCUUGACUGCGAGACCUACAAGUCGAGCAGGGACGAAAGUCGGGCUUAGUGAUCCGGUGGUUCCGCAUGGAAGGGCCAUCGCUCAACGGAUAAAAGCUACCCUGGGGAUAACAGGCUUGUCUCCCCCAAGAGUUCACAUCGACGGGGAGGUUUGGCACCUCGAUGUCGGCUCAUCGCAUCCUGGGGCUGUAGUCGGUCCCAAGGGUUGGGCUGUUCGCCCAUUAAAGCGGUACGCGAGCUGGGUUCAGAACGUCGUGAGACAGUUCGGUCCCUAUCCGUCGCGGGCGUUGGAAAUUUGAGAGGAGCUGUCCUUAGUACGAGAGGACCGGGAUGGACACACCGCUGGUGUACCAGUUGUUCUGCCAUAGCAUCGCUGGGUAGCUAUGUGUGGACGGGAUAAACGCUGAAAGCAUCUAAGCGUGAAGCCCCCCUCAAGAUGAGAUUUCCCAUCACUUUAAGUGAGUAAGACCCCUGAGAGAUGAUCAGGUAGAUAGGUUGGGAGUGGAAGUACAGCGAUGUAUGGAGCGGACCAAUACUAAUCGGUCGAGGACUUAACC
rnacentral:rRNA from 1 species